ensembl:lncRNA
GUCUACUAUGCCCACUUGUUGGAAGUAAUGUUGCUACAGUGCCUGAGAGCCCAUGGGUGAUAAAUCUGAUGCGUUAGUCUCUGCAGAGCUGAAGGCAAGAUGAUCUUUCCUGCUCCCAUCAACUGAUUUUUUUUUUCUCCCUGAGAAGAGAGACUGAUGAGAGGCAGGCUGAUUCUGACUUAGAACACAUGCCAGCACUGAUUUUGAGGAGAAGCUGCUGGUGAAGCAACUCCAUAGCUCCUUGUGGCUCUCCCACAUCCUCUUUGCAGAAGGUUCUGAGCACACGGAGGCUUCUGCUGAUAAACGCUCUAAGUUGUGAUAAAGCCAACAUCGUGGCUGUCUUCGCUGCUCACGACGUGAGAUGUGAAGGAAAAUUGCUGAGGGACACUUCCUAUGCAGCUUUCAUCACUGAGGCACUGGUAGGGGGGAGCAGCUCCUCCUCUUCACUCCCCAGCAGGCCACAGUGUGAAGACUAUGACAGCAGAGCAGGCAUGGAUGUGUCCCAUCUGCUGUGGUGUGCAAAAGGACAUUGCCUAUACCGUACUAUGCCAUCAUGAGUUCCAUCUGUGCUGCAUCCUGCAGUGCGACAGGCGGAAGGAGAGCUGCCUGGUCUGCAGGAGGGUCAUGACUGUCAUUAAGGAUGCUGUGUGGGAUGAUGAUGAUGACCUGGGCUUCACGAUCUGACUCCCAGCACCAUCAGUACCACGCUGCUUUCAGGCAGGCACUGCUCCUAUGCCAUUCACUCUACCCUUUCUGCUGUUGCCAGAUGAGCAGGAGCCUAAGGAGGCAGAGGAGGAACUUAUGGUGAGUAGUCUCCUGCCUGAGGUCUGGGCAGCCCUGUUCAGACAGCAACGGGACCUGUGCUGCCCUGGCUGCACCAGGAGCUGCACAUCAUCUUUGGGACACAGUGGUGGUCAACAAUGGCAGUGGAGAAUCUCAUCAUGAGUGCCCUGUGUGACACUGAGAUGGACAGGAAAGCCCUGAUCCAGCAGCUAUGGCCUGCCAUGGGGGACAGAAUGGAGAUGCUCAGCCAGGGACUCACUGACAUCACUGCGUGCCAGUGGGGUGAAGAGGCCUACUGACAGCCAGGCCUACAGGGUGUCCGCGUGUCUGGAGGGCAGGAGGACAGCUCUGUGGCUUCCCUUGGUCUUACAGCCUUCCCAUGAGUGACUCUCACCUCAAGGUCCAUGAUGAACACUUUCCUCUAGAAGAACAAGGAAAAGAAGCAGAUUUUAGAAGCAUUUCUAAGUGUAGCCAUUCUUGUGACAUUGGUCAUUAGAAUGGGUAUGAUUGGACUGGACAUUGGGUUUUAAGAUAUUCAAAACAUGCACAAGAAAUACAUUAAUCCUGAGACUCUUUCAGAGUGUAAUCUGAUAGUUUUAAAUUAAUGGCAGUGAAUCUUCCAAAAUAAUUUUAAAGGAAGCACACAGAUUUUGGACACAGAAUGACACCCAAAGUAGGUGUCAAUUCAGGCGCUGUGCCUGUGAAACAGAUGUGCUUUGGUCUGCAGAGAUUUCUAGGGAAGGAAAACCCCAAGAAGUGGACAAAUGUGAAGCAUUCAGUCUUCAUGUGCAGAUAAAAAUGAGGGAUUGUUGGUCAGAGUCUGAUAUGCUUACUCAGAUUUAAUACUAUUCUCUCCAUGCAAAGACUUAUUCAGUGGUGGUUCUGGCAGAAUAAUAAGAUGUUAUUCAGUGUUAAAAGCAUCAAAACUGGUUCUGAAAAACAAAAAUAUGUGAAAGGUACUUGAAUUGCCAGUAAGGAAACCCUAAUCCAACAAAUGCCGAGCAUCUUCUUAUCCCAUUGUGUUUUCCCUGUGUACAGGAGCUGGCAUCCUACCAGAAGUACGCUGACACAGGAUCAGGAAGUACCUAACCAACAUCCUGCUUUAUCUUUCAGAAGUACCAUUUGGUUGUAUCUCAAAUUAAUGAGCUUUUGGCAGGCUUUCAUUUCCUACUGUCAUAUACUGGGUUAUUUGGUUUAUUUUCUUGCUUGGGAAUGAGUGUGAAAGCAUUUUGCCCACUGCCACAAAGUGUGUAGUCCAGUUUCCAACAUGGAGGGAAAUCUUAGAUGAGCUCCAUCACCCUGGUAAACUGUUUCCCUGGACACCGUGUCUCCCCUAACAUAAAAACGUACACAGUCUGUGCCUGUGGUGUGCUGAGGCUGAAGCUGGAUGGGAGGUAUACAUUGGAUUUGAACUUCUCCUAUAUACGAGACAGGAACUCAAACCAUCUAAGCUACUCUCGCAAACAACUGUAUAAAACAUGUCCUCACUGAUCACCCUCCUUCCUGUCCAGGAAUCUCUGUAGUGACCUCUUACUGGUGAGUAGUGACAACAAAUAUAGAGGUUAUCAGGGCCUGUGAUGUCGCUGAGCUCUGGCUGAUGGCUCAGUCCCAAGUGAUGGCUAUUGGAGUAGACUUUAUUUAGCUGCUAAUGCCUUGAUGGUCCUCUGCUUCUACUGCAACAUCUACUUUAAGUGCAUCAUAAACUUGCAUUUUGGGACUGGC